rnacentral:rRNA from 2 species
GGGUUGUGAGGUUAAGCGACUAAGCGUACACGGUGGAUGCCCUGGCAGUCAGAGGCGAUGAAGGACGUGCUAAUCUGCGAUAAGCGCCGGUAAGGUGAUAUGAACCGUUAUAACCGGCGAUUUCCGAAUGGGGAAACCCAGUGUGAUUCGUCACACUAUCAUUAACUGAAUCCAUAGGUUAAUGAGGCGAACCGGGGGAACUGAAACAUCUAAGUACCCCGAGGAAAAGAAAUCAACCGAGAUUCCCCCAGUAGCGGCGAGCGAACGGGGAGGAGCCCAGAGCCUGAAUCAGCAUGUGUGUUAGUGGAAGCGUCUGGAAAGGCGCGCGAUACAGGGUGACAGCCCCGUACACAAAAGCGCAUGUGCUGUGAGCUCGAUGAGUAGGGCGGGACACGUGGUAUCCUGUCUGAAUAUGGGGGGACCAUCCUCCAAGGCUAAAUACUCCUGACUGACCGAUAGUGAACCAGUACCGUGAGGGAAAGGCGAAAAGAACCCCGGCGAGGGGAGUGAAAAAGAACCUGAAACCGUGUACGUACAAGCAGUGGGAGCACAGGUUUACCUGUGUGACUGCGUACCUUUUGUAUAAUGGGUCAGCGACUUAUAUUCUGUAGCAAGGUUAACCGUAU